AUGCCCGGAGAUCUUAGCCAGUGGAUAAUGAAGCAUUAUGACCCUGAGAUUUCGCAGAUAGUCAUUCCAGAAAGGGGGAAGAUUCCUGUUGAUGCCGCAAGUGUUCGUAGGAUAAGGGGUUUGCCAAAUAGGGGCAGGAAAGUGUGCUUCGACAAUCGGCCUGAAAUCACAAAGGCAAUGUACAGUAUUUACAACAUCACAUCCAAGAACUCCCCAACUCUCACAGAAUGGUGCAAGAUGAUCAUAGACAUGGGAGGAUCCUCUGAUGAUGACUUUCUCCGUGCUUGGCUAGCUCUUUUUUUUUGUGCUUCCUUGCCCCUUCAACUAGUUUAA
rnacentral:rRNA from 1 species